AUGUACUCGUUUCGAAAGUAUAUAUUUACACUAAAAUUGAACCGAUACCGAAAAGAUGGAAACAUGGAAGCUUGGCAAGGAUGACACGGAAUGUCGUGAUGCGUUACAUAUUUUU